rnacentral:misc_RNA from 1 species
UACAAAAAUAUUCGACCCAUUUCCACAUUAACCACACCAUCCUCAACCCAUUUCUCAUUAAUCACGCAAAUCUGCAAAAAGCCAAAUUCAUAUAUCCCUUCCCGAUCGCCCAAGCCAAAUUCACUCCACCAAAAUCCCCUAAAUCCCUUCAUCAACCAAACCUAAAAAAAUAAAAAACCAUAAAAUACAUGAGAGUAAAAAUACCUUGCAAAAUGAAUUAGCAGGGG